rnacentral:rRNA from 1 species
GAUGAACGCUGGCGGCGUGCCUAAUACAUGCAAGUCGAGCGAACGGACGAGAAGCUUGCUUUUCUGAUGUUAGCGGCGGACGGGUGAGUAACACGUGGAUAACCUACCUAUAAGACUGGGAUAACUUCGGGAAACCGGAGCUACUACCGGAUAAUAUUUUGCACCGCAUUGUUCCAAAGUGAAAGACGCUCUUUCUUUCACUUAUAGCUUGAUCCGCCCUGCAUUAGCUAGUUGGUAAGGUAACGGCUUACCAAGGCAACGAUGCAUAGCCGACCUGAGAGGGGGAUCGGACACACUGGAACUGAGAAACGGUACAGACUCCUAGGGGAGGCAGCAGUAGGGAAUCUUCCGCAAGGGGCGAAAGCCUGACGGAGCAACGCCGCGUGAGUGAUGAAGGUCUUCGGAUCGUAAAACUCUGUUAUUAGGGAAGAACAUAUGUGUAAGUAACUGUGCACAUAUUGACGGUACCUAAUCAGAAAGCCACGGCUAACUACGUG